AUGGUGAAUUACUACAAAGUACUAGGUGUGCCUCAAAAUGCUUCCUCCCCUGAUAUUAAGAAGGCUUAUCACCAGUUGGCUCUGCAGGUACACCCAGACAAGAACCCAGGGAACAAAGAGGCAUCUGAGGAGAAAUUCAAACAAGUAGCAAGAGGCCUAUGAGGUCUUGUCUGAUGCCAGGAAAUGAAAUGAGUAUGACAAGUCCAGAAGGAACCGAACCAAAAGGGAAACAGAGGAGAUGGCAGAGACAAAAAACAUUUGGAGGAGGAACUAUGCAUUCUCAGGAUUCUCAGGAAAUUGAUGGAAAAUCCCUGCUAUUGAUGACAAGAAAUGAUGUGUUGACAGGACUUCAGUUAAAAUUGGGGCCUGCUCUGAAAAUCUACGAAUAUCAUGUAAAACCUCUGCAGACAAAGCAUUUAAAGAACAACUCUUCAUAGUACAGUCAAAUUGGGGUCUUCGACCUCAAAAAAUACAUAAUGACAUAAUUUAGUUUCAUGUAAUGAAACUUUGUAAACAGAAUACAUACAUGUGUAUAUGUAAAGAAUUUCAAUCAAAUGAAACGUUAUCCUAUUGGAUAGACUAGGCAAUUCAUCAGCUCACCU
ensembl:lncRNA novel transcript